rnacentral:rRNA from 1 species
GACGGAGGAUGCAAGCGUUAUCCGGAAUGAUUGGGCGUAAAGGGUGCGUAGGCGGCGCGGUAAGUCGGGUGUGAAAUCUCGGGGCUUAACUCCGAAACUGCAUUCGAUACUGCCGUGCUUGAGGACUGGAGAGGAGACUGGAAUUUACGGUGUAGCGGUGAAAUGCGUAGAUAUCGUAAGGAAGACCAGUGGCGAAGGCGGGUCUCUGGACAGUUCCUGACGCUGAGGCACGAAGGCCAGGGGAGCAAACGGG